UGGGGAAUCUUCCGCAAUGGACGAAAGUCUGACGGAGCAACGCCGCGUGAGUGAUGACGGUCUUCGGAUUGUAAAGCUCUGUUAAUCGGGACGAAAGAGCUCUGUGUGAAUAAUGCAGAGAAGUGACGGUACCGGAAUAGAAAGCCACGGCUAACUACGUGCCAGCAGCCGCGGUAAUACGUAGGUGGCAAGCGUUGUCCGGAAUUAUUGGGCGUAAAGCGCGCGCAGGCGGGUUUUUAAGUCUGUCUUAAAAGUUCGGGGCUUAACCCCGUGAGGGGAUGGAAACUGGAAACCUAGAGUAUCGGAGAGGAAAGCGGAAUUCCUAGUGUAGCGGUGAAAUGCGUAGAUAUUAGGAAGAACACCAGUGGCGAAGGCGGCUUUCUGG
rnacentral:rRNA from 1 species